CUCCGUUGGUGAACCAGCGGAGGGAUCAUUGCUGGAACGCGCCCCAGGCGCACCCAGAAACCCUUUGUGAACUUAUACCUUACUGUUGCCUCGGCGCAUGCCGGCCCCCCCGGGGGCCCCUCGGAGACGAGGAGCAGGCACGCCGGCGGCCAAGUUAACUCUUGUUUUUACACUGAAACUCUGAGAAAAAACACAAAUGAAUCAAAACUUUCAACAACGGAUCUCUUGGUUCUGGCAUCGAUGAAGAACGCAGCGAAAUGCGAUAAGUAAUGUGAAUUGCAGAAUUCAGUGAAUCAUCGAAUCUUUGAACGCACAUUGCGCCCUCUGGUAUUCCGGAGGGCAUGCCUGUUCGAGCGUCAUUUCAACCCUCAAGCAUUGCUUGGUGUUGGGGCACUGCCUGUAAAAGGGCAGGCCCUGAAAUCUAGUGGCGAGCUCGCCAGGACCCCGAGCGCAGUAGUUAAACCCUCGCUCUGGAAGGCCCUGGCGGUGCCCUGCCGUUAAACCCCCAACUUCUGAAAAUUUGACCUCGGAUCAGGUAGGAAUACCCGCUGAACUUAAG
rnacentral:rRNA from 1 species